GCACGAAGGUAUGAUUCUAGGAAAUCUAGAUUUGAAAGAAGGAAGCACCCGAGGAGCAAUCAAACGGACAUUUCUACGAGUGAACUCGCUAAAGCUGAAGAUCCACCAUCCAAUUUAGGCAUUGGGCAGAACUCUUCAAUAGCUUUGGCUGUGAAAACUCUUGGUCUUGGAGCAUCAGUGUCAUCAGUUCACCCAAGAUCAGCAGGACAAAUAACUACUAGGUUUGUGCCAGAAAAGCGUCUUGCGUGA
rnacentral:rRNA from 1 species